UGCGCACUGCGCGGGCCCUGAUGGACAGAGACGCGCUCAAGCAGAGCCUGGUGGUGGGUGUCCAGGACCAUGGCCAGCGCCCUCUCUCAGCCACCCUCACGCUCACCGUGGCCGUGGCUGACAGCAUCCCAGACAUCCUGACCGACUUGGGCAGCCUCAAGCCUUCAGCCGAUCCUGACGACUCAGACCUCACCCUGUACCUGGUGGUGGCGGUGGCUGUGGUCUCCUGUGUCUUCCUCGUCUUUGUCAUCGUGCUGCUGGCACUCAGACUGCGGCGCUGGCACACUUCGCGCUGGUUGCAGGCUACUGGAGGCAGGUUGGCUGGCAUGCCUGCCUCUCACUUCCUGGGUGUGGACAGGGUGCAGGCUUUCCUGCAGACCUAUUCCCACGAGGUCUCCCUCACAGCUGACUCUCGGAAGAGCCACCUGGUCUUCCCCCAGCCCAACUACGCAGACACGCUCAUCAGCCAGGAGAGCUGUGAGAAAAGCAAGCCUCUUCUGAUAACUCAGGAUUUACUUGAAACAAAAGGAGACCCCAAUCUUCAUCAGGUGAGUCAAUCUUGCCACGCUGAAACAUAGGCAGAGAGCUGUUUAAUUGUCUCCAAUUGUAUAAGAUACAUAAUAUAUCAAAUAAAGUCACUUGUUUU